GACGAACGCUGGCGGCGUGCUUAACACAUGCAAGUCGAACGGAAAGGCCCUGCUUGCAGGGUGCUCGAGUGGCGAACGGGUGAGUAACACGUGGGUGAUCUGCCCCUUAUUUUGGGAUAAGCCUGGGAAACUGGGUCUAAUACUGGAUAGGACCAUGCUGUAGGUGGUGUGGUGGAAAGAUUAGUUUCGGUAAGGGAUGAGCUCGCGGCCUAUCAGCUUGUUGGUGGGGUAAUGGCCUACCAAGGCGUCGACGGGUAGCCGGCCUGAGAGGGUGGACGGCCACAUUGGGACUGAGAUACGGCCCAGACUCCUACGGGAGGCAGCAGUGGGGAGUAGUGAACAAUGGGCGCAAGCCUGAUGCAGCGACGCCGCGUGGGGGAUGACGGCCUUCGGGUUGUAAACUCCUUUCGGCCAUGACGAAGCCCUUGUGGUGACGGUAGUGGUAGAAGAAGCACCGGCUAACUACGUG
rnacentral:rRNA from 1 species